rnacentral:rRNA from 1 species
GAUGAACGCUGGCGGCGUGCCUAAUACAUGCAAGUCGAGCGAACAGACGAGGAGCUUGCUCCUCUGACGUUAGCGGCGGACGGGUGAGUAACACGUGGAUAACCUACCUAUAAGACUGGGAUAACUUCGGGAAACCGGAGCUAAUACCGGAUAAUAUAUUGAACCGCAUGGUUCAAUAGUGAAAGACGGUUUUGCUGUCACUUAUAGAUGGAUCCGCGCCGCAUUAGCUAGUUGGUAAGGUAACGGCUUACCAAGGCAACGAUGCGUAGCCGACCUGAGAGGGGGAUCGGCCACACUGGACCUGAGACACGGUCCAGACCCCUACGGGAGGCAGCAGUAGGGAAUCUUCCGCAAUGGGCGAAAGCCUGACGGAGCAACGCCGCGUGAGUGAUGAAGGUCUUCGGAUCGUAAAACUCUGUUAUUAGGGAAGAACAAAUGUGUAAGUAACGAUGCACGUCCUGACGGGACCUAAUCAGAAAGCCACGGCUAACUACGU